ACACGGGUAUCUCUUGUGACCCCACGCUGCUCCCGGAGCCCAACCACGUCAUGUUGAACCACCUGUACGCCCUGUCUAUCAAGGACGGCGUGAUGGUUCUCAGCGCGACGCACCGAUACAAGAAGAAGUACGUGACCACGCUGCUGUACAAACCCAUCUGACGACCCGGUGACCUUUGACCUGUGGAGCUUUCUGAGGAGACAACUGAACGUGAAAGUGAAGCUAACGAAUUGUUUUAUUUUUUAAAAAAAUCUUAAUCGUAAUUGAAGCUGUCGUAGUUUUAAAAUUCCCGUAUGUUUCCGUUGCUGUACUCGUAUGGUUUGGACCAAUGAGCUGUGAGAAAAUCGUCAGGUGAUCUGUGGAACAAUAUCCAUUUUCACUUAAUUUUAUUUUAUUUGUCGCAAAUGAUUCUUUUUCGCCCGUCUGUGCCCCAGUGACAGGCAGAACAAUUAAAUUCUCUUCCACCAGGGGGCAGCAGAAGGCUAUUAAAAAUGGAGACUCGGAGCUGGUAAAAAAGAUUUUCGUGUUCCUUUCUUUAAUUCCUGUCAGUAUAUCAGCUCUGUGUUCAACUAAACAGGACUUUGCAAUAAAGAUGAUUUCAAGUGUA